AGAGUUUGAUCAUGGCUCAGGACGAACGCUGGCGGCGUGCCUAACACAUGCAAGUCGAGCGGUCCGGCAGCCAACUUAAGUUGGGAGCCGGAUAGCGGCGGACGGGUGAGUAACGCGUGGGCAACCUACCCUUAAGACCGGGAUAACACCUCGAAAGGGGUGCUAAUACUGGAUAAGCUCCUUGUAGGGCAUCCUAUGAGGAGGGAAGGUAGCGGGAGCUACCGCUUAAGGAUGGGCCCGCGUCCCAUCAGCUAGUUGGUAGGGUAACGGCCUACCAAGGCGACGACGGGUAGCCGGCCUGAGAGGGUGGUCGGCCACACUGGGACUGAGACACGGCCCAGACUCCUACGGGAGGCAGCAGUGGGGAAUCUUGCGCAAUGGGCGAAAGCCUGACGCAGCGACGCCGCGUGAGCGAGGAAGGCCUUCGGGUCGUAAAGCUCGAUAGUGUGGGAAGAAGGGAUGACGGUACC
rnacentral:rRNA from 1 species